UAGGGCUAUUGAUCUAUUGGAAGUGAGGGGGAGAAAAUAAAAAUUACUUGACCCACCCAUUCGAAACCCCCUUUCUUCGUCCAAAUUCAGAAUUGAAAUGGUUUUCCUCUUAGAAAUUUCAUCUCCAAAUGACGAAGAAGGAGUUGGAGAAAAGGAGAGAUAGUAGUGAAAGAAGCUGUGAAAUUAGGUGGAAGGAGAAGGAAAUUCUUUAAUAUCUGCUUAUCUGUUUUUCUUCUUCUGUUGCAAACAAGAACGUUUAUUGAAUCCGUGGAUCAAUAUGCACAACUAGGUCUCCGACAUUAUGUUUGGCUUCGCGUGAACUAGAGGAAGAUGAGCAUCGAGAAUGGGCUUUUAUGUUUAAGGAGGCUAAUAGCUUAUUGGUUGACAGGGAGGUUAUUGUUUUCAAAUAUAAGUUCAAAAGCAUCAGAACUGGGAGUUUGUCUGUACUCAGGGCAAUGGUUGGAAAUAGAAAGCAAUAUGAGAUGGUUGUCAAAAACAUAUACCUAUAAUAUAAUCUUCCACACUAACGGUGAAUUUUGUUUGUAUCUUGAGGAUUGGCUUGUGUUGUUGGUAUACUUACUAAAUACUUUAUUUACCUUUGUAUCAUUUAGACCGUAACUUUAGUUAAGUAAAUUAUUGAAUACUUUAUUUUGUAAUUUUAAUAUAUUAUUAAUGAAAGUUAUUAGUAUUUAUUGUGUUGUGAA